rnacentral:lncRNA from 1 species
UUUGAUGAUGGGAUUGAGUCGAGGAUGACUCCAAUUCAAGAAGGGGAGGAUGAUGAGAAUAUUACCAUGCUGGACAUGCACGAGCCGGCCUCAUUACCAAGCUACAAGUCGUCGCCAACUUGGACUGCGAGUUCGGUUCGGAUUCAGCCAACCACCUUGCACCAAAACGGCGAUAUCUCCCUCAUACGGCGUCCAAAUAAGGUGUUCUUGGAUGCGUUGGAAAUCUGACAAUGAGAUGCUUCUUUUGGUUCUAGUCCUAGCUCCAGAAGCCUCGUGGAUCAUUCUGUGUGACCACAACAAGAUGCUGCGUCACCAGUUUUGAGCCUUUUCAGGCUUUAUAUCGUGUCGGCUUUAAGCCCAAGUUGUGGGCACCCCCCUGAUUGCCCCAGCCCUAGGACGUCCCUCUUUGCAUAA